AGACUGACCAACUUCGAGAACUUCGAGACCAGAUUCGAGAUACGUCUACAGAGGCAAAAUCGAGCGAUUUGAGACAAACUUCUGACAUCUACAAACUUCAGGAGAUUCAAAUUGAACAGGCGACUGAAGCGAUAUGGGCAACAGAAUGAUGAUCACCAUCGUCUUGGCAUUCCUGGCUUUUGCAGCCACCACCGACGCACAGGUUGUAACAUGGUUGGAUGGAGGAUGCCCGGACGUAACGACUAAGGAAAACUUUGACGUGCAAU